rnacentral:rRNA from 1 species
GACAGGGGUCUCAAGCGUUAAUCGGAAUCACUGGGCUUAAAGGGCGCGUAGGCGGCUGUACAAGUCAAAGGUGAAAUCCCUCGGCUCAACUGAGGAACUGCCUUUGAAACUGUACGGCUUGAGGCCGGGAGGGGGUAGCGGAAUUCCCAAUGUAGCGGUGAAAUGCGUAGAUAUUGGGAGGAACACCAGUGGCGAAGGCGGCUACCUGGACCGGUUCUGACGCUGAGGCGCGAAAGCGUGGGUAGCAAACAGG